CCUACGGGAGGCAGCAGUGGGGAAUAUUGCACAAUGGGCGAAAGCCUGAUGCAUUCGACGGCGCGUGAGCGAAGAAGGCCUUCGGGUCGUAAAGCUCUGUCCUAUGGGACGAUAAUGACGGUACCAUAGGAGGAAGCCCCGGCUAACUACGUGCCAGCAGCCGCGGUAAU
rnacentral:rRNA from 1 species